AAAAUACUUAAAUAUAAGUGUAACACGCAUAAACGUCAGAUCACUGCAAGAGUCAAAGAAGCACACAAGAAAACGUAUGAUUCAGAUCGAAACAGAAAAUGGCUCGUUUGAGUAUCUUUGUCGUUGUGGUUCUCUUGCUUAUGAUUCAAAGCAUUUUUGUUGAGUCUUGGUGGAGGCGCAGAAGACGUCGUCGUCGUUCACCACCCACUUAUUGUCGAUACCCCCGUCCAUCACAGGGCUCUAUCUCUGAAAAAACAAACGACUUCUUUUACGGAAGUACAAAGCUCUUUGGAAAGAAGUUUUGGUGGGGGAAGAGAAGUAAAAUUGUCAAAAACACGUGGAAGUUAAGACACAGUUUACUCAUGUUCCGUGGAAAAAUUUUUGAGUGGGGAAGUAAACGUAUUUAUUCUUCUGGCACGACGGGUAAAAGUCCAGCGAGUUGUGACAUUAGAUGGUCCUGGGCCGCAAAGGGCAAAAGUAGAUGCACUUUGAAUGAUGCUACACGAUGGGCAAAUCGAUAUAGAUAUCGUUAUGGCAGAUAUCGUCUGUUAUGGAACAACUGUCAUCAUUUCGUCAACAGACUGGGACGAUAUCUCCGUGGAAACUGCAGGCGCUGAUCAUACUAUGAUCAACCUAGGUUAUGGACUGAAUGGAUUUGGACUGUGGAAAGAAGAAAAAACUUUUUUUUUUGAAUAAAUUUUGAUCUUGCAGAUUUCCUGCUUUCAUUUUAUAGCUACUUACUGUUCACCAUAGAUGUAACGUUUAGGUAUGAUAAAAUUUUCUCUUUGCUUUUGAUAUAAUCUUUUUUAGUUUAGGGACGUAAUGUACAUUUCCAUUGUUUAUAUUUUCAUUUUCAAGCUUAAAACUUGUUAGAUUGCAAUAAAGAUGUACUUGUAUUUGAGAGUACAAAAGAAAUGAA